GGGACAAUGGGCGCAAGCCUGAUCCAGCCAUGCCGCGUGCAGGAAGAAGGCCUUCGGUUGUAAACUGCUUUUGUCAGGGAAGAAAUCCUCUGGGGUUAAUACCUCGGAGGGAUGACGGUACCUGAAGAAUAAGCACCGGCUAACUACGUGCCAGCAGCCGCGGUAAUACGUAGGGUGCGAGCGUUAAUCGGAAUUACUGGGCGUAAAGCGUGCGCAGGCGGCUUUGCAAGACAGAUGUGAAAUCCCCGGGCUCAACCUGGGAACUGCAUUUGUGACUGCAAGGCUAGAGUGCGGCAGAGGGAGAUGGAAUUCCGCGUGUAGCAGUGAAAUGCGUAGAUAUGCGGAGGAACACCGAUGGCGAAGGCAAUCUCCUGGGCCUGCACUGACGCUCAUGCACGAAAGCGUGGGGAGCAAACAGGAUUAGAUACCCUGGUAG
rnacentral:rRNA from 1 species